UACAGGGGGUGCAAACGUUGCUCGGAAUCAUUGGGCGUAAAGCGCACGUAGGCGGUUCGUUAUGUCGGAUGUGAAAGCCCUUGGCUUAACCGAGGAAGUGCAUCCGAAACUGGCGAGCUAGAGUACUAAAGAGGAUCGCGGAAUUCCUGGUGUAGAGGUGAAAUUCGUAGAUAUCGGGAGGAACACCGGUGGCGAAGGCGGCGAUCUGGGUAGAUACUGACGCUGAUGCACGAAAGCGUGGGGAGCAAACAGG
rnacentral:rRNA from 1 species